rnacentral:lncRNA from 1 species
AUGGGGAACACAGAAAAGACAGAAAGGCUGCGUGUCCCCGAGGUGCCACCGCUCUGGGACAGCUCCCAGGGAGUUCUGACGUCCCUGCCGAGGUGUUGUGUGUCCCCAGGGGAACGUGGUGCUCUGGAAGCCCAGCGACACUGCCCUGCUCUCCAGCUACGCCGUCUACAAGAUCCUGCUGGAGGCGGGGCUGCCCCCCAACGUGGUGCAGUUCGUGCCCUCGGAUGGCCCCGAGUUUGGGGACACUGUCACCAGCUCCGAGCACUUCUGUGGCCUCAACUUCACCGGCAGCGUGCCAACCUUCCGGCGGCUCUGGAAGCAGGUCUCGGAGAACCUGGAGCGCUACCGCAACUUCCCGCGCCUGGCCGGAGAGUGCGGCGGGAAGAACUUCCACGUGGUGCACCGCUCGGCGGACGUGGGCAGCGCCGUGAACGGGACGCUGCGCUCGGCCUUCGAGUUCGGCGGGCAGAAGUGCUCCGCCUGCUCGCGGCUCUACGCGCCCGCCUCGCUGUGGCCCCACAUCAAAGAGAAGCUGCUGGAGGAGCACGGGAAGAUCAAAGUGGGAGAUGUGAGCCGAGCUGCCGGGCUGCUGAAGGGCUUUGCGGCUCAGCGGGAAGCUGAUGGGAUUAGGGGCUGCGGGAACUGGCUGCUAAUUCCCAUUGAACCGAGCUUUUCAUCCCCGCCCGCUCCCCCCUCCGCCCCGCAGCUCCUGGCCCUGAUUAGAAAUUAACUUG